rnacentral:lncRNA from 1 species
GCUUUCCCUUCUUGAGUGAACACGGAGCCCCAGCAUGCUGGAAUCUCAAUAAACCCCACUUGCUGUUGCAUGAGUCGCGGUCCCUUGGUGGUCUCUUCCUCCGACGCUUCGCCGGACCCUUACACAGGAAUGAUCCGUUUGGCUUACCCCCGCCUUCCUGUUGCUGCCUCCAGAGGGAUCAGAAUAAAGACCCGGGGCCAGUCAGCCAUGGCCCAGUCCUGACUUCCCUCCCAUGGCCCUCAGAUGCCUCACCAACUCAUCUCAGACACAUUGCUGGAAAUUUUUUUAUUGGUUCUUUUUAGUUAUACAUAAUGUUAGGAUUCAUUUUGGUAUAAUUAUAAAAGCAUGGAAUCUGUUUGCUCUAAUUCAGUCCCUAGGACUCCCCCUCUCUCUCCUCCGCUCCCUUCCUGUUCCCUUCUCUCUACUGGUCUUUCUGCUGUUUACUUACAGGUUUUUGUUGUUGUUAGUUUUUUUUUAAAUAUUUUUAUUUUUUAGUUUUCGGCGGACACAACAUCUUUGUUUGUAUGUGGUGCUGAGGAUUGAACCCGGGCCGCACGCAUGCCAGGUGAGUGCGCUACCGCUUGAGCCACAUCCCCAGCCCCUGUUGUUGUUAGUUAAAGAUGGUGGAUAGACAGGAUGGGGAGCUGCACUGUGGGGUAUUCAUACGUGUACAUGGGAAAGUUAGGUCAGAUUCAUUCCUCUGUUGUCCCCUUCACCCGUCCCUUCUUCCUCCCCCUCGGUCCCCUUCACCUAGUCCACGGAUCUUUUAUUUUGAUGGAACCCCCCAUUUUCCCUUUCUCUCGUUCUCUCUCUCUCUCUCUUCUCCCUCUUAUUUUGGACUUGCUUCCUCAAAUCAGAGAAAACACUUGGACUUUGGUUUCGAGUCCAGCUUAGUUCACUUAGCAUGAUGAUCUCCAGUUCCAUCAUGAGCCAGCGAAUGCCGUAAGUUCAUUCUUCUUUAUGACCUGAUACUCCACUGUGUACAUGGGCACGUUUUCUUUAUCCAGUCCUCUGUUAACAGGCCCUGGGCCGGCUCAUAGCUUGGCCAUUGUGACUUGCUGCUAUAAACAUGGGUGUGGCUGCAUCCCUAUAGUGUGCUGCACUGUUGGAAAUCUUACAAAUUAGAAAAUAAACAGCUUCAAGUCAGGAUAGAGUUGGUGAGCUCCCUGGGUUGGUGAUGUGGCAAUAUGAUCUUUGGUGACUGGACAUAGCUGAGGUGGGGGGGGGGGGGUCAGGGUGCUGCACUCUCACAGAGGUCCCUUCAUUUUGCACACAGAGUGGCCCUGCUCAGCCAUACCCAGGCCUCUGGGCCACCUUUUGACAAAGGGUAGGGAAGGAAAAUGGAGUUCUGCUGGAGCCCAGCUGACCAGGUGACUCUGGGCAAGCCCACUGCCUUCCCUGGCCUUUGGUUUCCAUCUGGGGAAGGACAGGUUGGGCUCUAAGUCCUGUGCUUCUCAGUCUCGGGCGUGUAGCACACGUGGCUGGGGACCUGUGGCCACCAGACCCCUGGGGCGAGGGAGCUGCCUGCCGCCCUCACCCUCUCCCAGAGACUCAGGUCGCUGGCUGGGCCUGGGCCUGCAGCCAAGCGGAAGCUGAAGACAAUAAACCAGUCACCCAGGCAGGUUGGGCAACUUCCGCCUGCAAACAGGACUUCGGCCCCAGGACUUUGAGUUCUGGGCAGCAUCCCCACCCCCCGGAAUGCAGGCCACCCAGUUUAGGGGCUGGGGCUGGGGUAGGUGGGUAGUGUGCUCUCCUAGUUCCAAGGACCCCACGAAGUGGCUCUGAGUUCCAUGAGGAGGCUCCCACCAAGAAGGGGUCACACACAUGGCUGUGGGGACAGUGCAGGAGCCUGGCCCAGGAGAGCCCUCUGUAUGGGACAGUGUAUGCUGCAUCUGCACAUGGUGUGAGCUGUGGGGGCACCGUGCACACGGCCAUGGUCACCCACGUGGGAGUGACAGUAGGGGGCAAUCUGGGUUGUGCUCUGUGCUGAGGGAAGCACACAAGUCUGUGGGACUGUGAUAUGUGCCCUCCAGUGUGAGGACACUUGGGUCCACUGACGAGUGUCUGUGUGUGUCAGUUAUUUGCAUUGGACACAUGGCAGAGCCAUGCAUGUGACAUUUUGCACACAGGUGUGAUUCUACAGGGGCACAGAUAAGCGUGCGGCUCUGUGUGUGUGCUGAUGAGUGCACAUGUGGUUUCUGUGAAAACCCACAUGUGCAUAUAUGUGCACAGUGGGGGGGCAUGUGUACCCCUGGGACACACAUGUGUUAUGGCGUGUUUACCAUGUGAGCCCCGGGUGCUGAGCACACGGUGUCUGUGGAGGUGAUGGUUUGUGAACAUGUGUGGCCUUUUUUGUACCCGUGAGUGCAUAUGAUGUAUGGAUGUUCAUACAAAUUCUCCUGUGGGACACAUGUCCUUGGGGCUUUGGCUUAGCUUGUCACGUGUCACCUCCUUUGUUCCCCAUAACAUGCCAGUGGCUCUCAGGCUUCCAGCAAGUCUCUGUUCCGAGCCUCAGUUUCCCCACCUGUACUGUGAAAGGCGAACGUGGACAGGAGGAGUUCUCAGGCUCUUCCCACCAUCCUGGUGGCUUGAGAGCGGUGCCCCCAAAGAAUGUUCAAAUAUGGGGAAAAUGAGAACCCAGAAAACUUAGAAUUUGUCUCAGUCCCUGGGCAAGUGACAGGAGACUUUGAGUGACAGACAGAGCCAGGUACCCAGCACCUGUGUCCCUCAGGAAGACCCUGAGGGAUUUGCUGGAGCCUUCCAUCUGGCCUGGAGGCAGGGGACUGGCUGAAGCGACUUCUGCCCAGGGCUCUGGAAGGGUGGAGAGGAGUUCAGGGACCAGGGUGGAGGACCCCUGAGAACAGCCUCCAAAAGGAGUCCCGGUGACACUGGUUUGGAAAAAGGAACACCCUGUACUCGUUGGGAGGAGUCUGUCCCUGGCUCCCUUCCUUCUUGAGGACCAGGGGACAAGGCUGCAUUCCCUUUAGGGCUGGUUUGGGCUGGUCUUGGGGAAGAUUCUGAGGGAGAAGGGAGCUUGCUAAAUGCUUGCUCGGGGCUCUUUGGAGAGGGCAGGAAGGUCCUUCUUCUUUUCCUUCAUCACUUUCUUCUCUCCUCUGCUCUCAGCAGCUCCUGCCACCCUUCAGAAGGAUAAGUAAAGAGGUGGCACAGCAGCACGGUCACACACUUGAUCUGUGCCAGCACACAGGGACAGUCAGUGCUGGCCUCAGAAGGCUUUGUCUGCCUCGGGACGGGCCCACUGCAAAGAGCGUGAAGGAGCUGGUGCUUCCUGCAGCCAGCCUCAGGGGGCAGGACCUCAGGGGCUGCCUCUGACCCUCCAGGAUAAAGACUAGGGAUGGAGAAAGGGGGACACUCCAGGGCAGAAGGACAGCCUGGACACCCUCUGUGAUCAGGGCCAGUCAGACGAACAGAAGCCACUCCCGGAAUUUCAAACAGAGGAAUUUAAUCUUAACCAAUACGGUUCUAGGCCAAAGGAAGAGCUGAGAAGCCAACCAGCAAACAGCGAGGCAACUCCGUGCCCUCAGUGCCAGACAUUGCCACCACUCUGGGGCUGGAGGGACUAGAGGAGGAGGUGGGGAGACUGCCUGAGGGCAGCUUGGACCAUGGUGGGGGAGCUGGAACCACACUCAUUAAGAUGGGGGAAGAGGCAUCCUGACUUCCCUCCUCCUCUUCCCCUGCAGUCUCCUGCCAGCGCUUCCCAUUGGCCCAGCGUAGCAGGUAAAGGAGCCUGGGGAAAGUGGACAGCAAACAGGCCAGGCCACACACCCUGCCAGGGGCACCCCGCAGGGCCUGCAAACUUGUUGGGAAAAGCAAGAAAUGUUUGGCAGCAUCCCCAGGACCCGGUGCUCCCCGAGUGGGGCUUCAUAUUGCCCCCCACCAUCCAGCAAACUCAGGCCAAGGUUCCCCCAGCUGCAGCUGAGGAAGCCAAGACCUUGAGGAAACAGUGUCGUCUCCAAGCCCCAGAGCUCGAGAAUGGCAGAGCAAGGGCCCAAACACGGGUGGGUGCGGGACCUGGG